CCGGCCGCCUCGGAAUCUGGAGCCUAGAGAGACUUCCAGAGCCAGUCUCAGACAGACCCCGGGGAAGGCGCGGGGCUGCAGCACCGCCCCGCCCGCCGCACCUGGAAGCGGUGAGGACCGGGAGAGGCGGGGCGCGGCAGGAGGCUGGCCCGGCGCCUGAGCAGCUCCGCCGAAAGCCGGCCCGACUGAAGCAGGGCGAAGGGGGAGGGUCUCGAGGCGAGUUCUGCUCCUCCGAGGGAAAGGACCCCAGCUGGAGUGGAAAACCAGCACCAGCUGACCGCAGAGAGCCGGGCUGAUCAUGGAGAGGGCCGGCCCCGGCUCCGCGCGGCCUCAACAGCAAUGGGACCAGGACUCGGUCGAAGCGUGGCUGGACGAUCACUGGAACUUUACCUUCUCUUACUUUGUUAGGAAAGGCACCAGAGAAAUGGUCAAUGCAUGGUUUGCUGAGAGAGUUCACACCAUCCCUGUGUGCAAGGAAGGAGUCAAAGGCCACGCGGAAUCCUGCUCUUGUCCCUUGCAGCCAAGUACCCGUGCAGAGAGCAGUGUCCCUGGAACACCAACCAGGAAGAUCUCUGCCUCCGAAUUCGAUCGGCCGCUUAGACCCAUUGUUAUCAAAGAUUCUGAGGGGACUGUGAGCUUCCUCUCUGACUCAGACAAGAAGGAACAGAUGCCUCUAACCUCCCCACGGUUUGAUAAUGAUGAAGGGGACCAGUGCUCGAGACUCUUGGAAUUAGUGAAAGAUAUUUCUAGUCACUUGGAUGUCACAGCCUUAUGUCACAAAAUUUUCUUGCAUAUCCAUGGACUCAUCUCCGCUGACCGCUACUCCUUAUUCCUCGUCUGUGAGGACAGCUCCAACGACAAGUUUCUUAUCAGCCGCCUCUUUGAUGUUGCAGAAGGUUCAACACUGGAAGAAGCUUCAAAUAACUGUAUCCACUUAGAGUGGAACAAAGGCAUCGUGGGACACGUGGCCGCUCUUGGCGAGCCCUUGAACAUCAAGGACGCCUAUGAGGACUGCCCUGGCAGAAGCCAGCAAGGAGAACAGUAACUCAGAUUUCUACACAAGAAUGCAAGUUGACUAUCCUAGCUACAUCCAUUCCACGUCUGCCUUAGAGAGGGGGACAGGGAAGGACCACGACCAUCCCCAACUCCAGAGUCCUUUGAAGAACCUCCCUUCAAGCUCCAGUCUCCCUGGAGGCACAGCAAGCUUACCUGCGGUUCUGAAGGCCUGCUCCUCCCACCCUGCCGAUCUUUUUCCCAAGGCCGGCAGCCAUCCUAGGAAUAGCAACACACACCUUCUUAAGUCCCUAAAAUGUUCAUCUUCUAUGAACAGUGGUAUUUUGGACUGCUCUUGGAAAGUAAAUAUUACAAUUUCUUAUUAAUUUAAUAGAGAUUAAUGAUAACUCAAAAUUAAAAAGAAUCUUGACUCAGAUCAGGAAGAUCCCCUAGAGAAGGGAAUGGCUACCCGCUCCAGUAUUUUUGCCAGGAAACUACCAUGAACAGAGGAGCCUGGCAGGCUACAGUUCAUGGGUUACAAAGAGUCAGAUAUGACUGAGCGACUAUCACAAUAAGAAUCUUAAUGCAAAAUUCCAAAAACAAAAUGCUGUGCUGUGCUUACUUAUUUGCUCAGUCGUGUCCGACUUUUUGCGACCCCAUGGACUGUAGCCCACCAGGCUCCUCCAUCUAUGGGAUUUCCCAGGCAAGAAUACUGGAGUGGUUUGCCAUGCCCUUCUCCAGGUGAUCUUCCCAACCCAGGCAUCCAACUGAGGUCUCCCUCAUUGCAGGUGGAUUCUUGACCAGGGAAGCCCUGAAAUCUAUCUUAUUAAUACCUUUUUAAUUAUACAAAAAAAAAAAAAAAACCCACACAUUUCUUUUAAUAAUAAAAUUCUGCGAAUAAAUUUUAAACCAUA